CAAAACAGUAAUUUUGGUGCAAAAUGAGCUGCCUACUUUAAAGGGUGACUCGGAAAAGGCGGGAGGUCCUCUUCCCCAGGAACAGAAGGAAGACAGCUCCUCACUUAACCAGGCAAGCCUAGACAGAAGUGGCAGAGGAAGUCAAGAGGCAAUGGUCGGGGAUUUUCUGGGGCCUAUGUGACCUUCAGGACGUCGCAUGGGCGCAACGAGCAGAAUACAGUAGCAGCAGUACCAUCUACAAGAUGCAAUGCAGCAACUUGCCAAGGCUCCUUUGACAGCACUUCCCAAACCUGCGACCUUUACCAUCUCAAAGAACAAGGAUAGCAGGGAACAUUACCAUCUACAAGUUCCCCUGUAAAUCACAAGUCAUCCUGACUUGGAAAUGUAUCACUGUUCCUACAUUGUCAUUGGAUCAAAAUCCUGAAUUCCCUUCCUAACAGCACUGUGAGAAUACCUUUGCCACACUCUGCAAUUGUUCAAGAAGGCAGCUCACCACAUCUUCUCAAGGGCAAUAAGGAAUGGACAAUAAAUGCUGACUUUGCAAGUGGCUGCCGUCAAUUAUCUAAAUUAAAAUCUAACUCUUUGACCAUGUUUCUUGUCAUCACCCUUAUAUCACCUAAUGUGGCUCGAUAUCAAAUUUUGUUUGAUAAUUCUCCUGUGAAGCAUCGGAACAUUUAACUAUGUUGCAAUUUCUCAGAUAUUGAAGCAGUCCAUAUUGGCCUGAGUGCAACUCCGUCACUCAAGAAGCUCAAAAUAUCCAAACAAAGCAGCUCAUUGUUUUCAUUUUUAUUUAUUUUCAUUUUUAUCCAUUGUUUUA